UGGGGAAUUUUGGACAAUGGGCGCAAGCCUGAUCCAGCCAUGCCGUGUGCGGGAAGAAGGCCUUCGGGUUGUAAACCGCUUUUGUCGGGGAAGAAAAGCCUUGGGUUAAUACCCUGGGGUGAUGACGGUACCCGAAGAAUAAGCACCGGCUAAUUAUGUGUUAGUAGUUGUGGUACUAUGUAGGGUGUAAGUGUUAAUCGGAAUUACUGGGCGUAAAGCGUGCGCAGGCGGUUGUGUAAGACAGAUGUGAAAUCCCCGGGCUCAACCUGGGAACUGCCUUUGUGACUGCAUAGCUAGAGUACGGUAGAGGGGGAUGGAAUUCCGCGUGUAGCAGUGAAAUGCGUAGAUAUGCGGAGGAACACCGAUGGCGAAGGCAACCCCCUGGACCUGUACUGACGCUCAUGCACGAAAGCGUGGGGAGCAAACA
rnacentral:rRNA from 1 species